GAUGAACGCUAGCGGCAGGCUUAACACAUGCAAGUCGAGGGGCAGCAUGAGACGGAGAUUCGUCGAAGUCUUGAUGGCGACCGGCGCAAGGGUGCGUAACGCGUGAGCAACUUGCCCGUUUCUGGGGCAUAACCGGUGGAAACGCCGACUAAUUCCCCAUAGUAUUGAUUACAGGCAUCUGUUGUCAAUUAAAGAAUUUCGGAAACGGAUAGGCUCGCGUGACAUUAGCUAGAUGGCGGGGUAACGGCCCACCAUGGCGACGAUGUCUAGGGGUUCUGAGAGGAAGGUCCCCCACACUGGAACUGAGACACGGUCCAG
rnacentral:rRNA from 1 species